rnacentral:tRNA from 1 species
GGCUCCAUAGUGUAGUGGUUAGCCCGUCUGUUUUACAUGCAGAAGGUCCUGGGUUUGCACCCCAGGUGGAGCUA